UACGUAGGUGGCAAGCGUUGUCCGGAUUUAUUGGGUUUAAAGGGUGCGUAGGCGGCGGGGUAAGUCAGGUGUGAAAUCUCGGGGCUCAACCCCGAAACUGCACUUGAUACUGCCUCGCUUGAGUACUGGAGAGGAGACUGGAAUUUACGGUGUAGCAGUGAAAUGCGUAGAUAUCGUAAGGAAGACCAGUGGCGAAGGCGAGUCUCUGGACAGUUACUGACGCUGAGGCACGAAGGCCAGGGGAGCAAACGGG
rnacentral:rRNA from 1 species